rnacentral:misc_RNA from 1 species
UUGUUGUCCAGGCCCCGCAUCAAAUGAACACACAGGAUUGCACUAUUUGUGAGAUAACAUGCAAGGGAAAAAUAAAGAUGUGUCUAUUCAUUUCUUGUUGCUGAAAGCUUUGUUAUGGGAAGAAAUAUACUUUUAUAAGUAUUCUGAGAAAGCAUCUCGUUCUCAAAUUUGGUACCUGUGCCUAUUGCUAUGCCAAUUUAUUAAGCAGUCAUAACAAACAAAAAGAUGGUUGAACUUCAGAUUUAGCUAGGUUGUGUAUUAUAAUAUUCUUACUGUUGAGAAUCCAGCCCAUAAUCUUAGCUCAUUGAAAAUAGUGGGCCUUUGAUAAAAAGCCCAUGAACCAAAGGAGAAGCUUCUUGGAAGCAUUGUGGGUACAGAAAGUUGGUUAACUGGCUUAGAAAGUUUAAGAAUGUGGUGGCGAAGUCACUACAUCUUGCAUAGUUAUAUAUGGCCAUUUGCCAAGUUUUGAGUGGGCACAGAUAUGAGAGAUUGUGAGGUGUGUGCAAAUGAAGCAGUGUAUUUUGAGAUCAAGUUUCGUAACAAGCUUGUAAGAGUGCUUUUGAGAGGGUAAACACCAUUGGGUGUAUUGGCUUUGAAGGGUUCUUGUAGAAUGUGAGGUUGAUUAUUGGUAUUAUUGUUCGUGAUAGUGGAUUGAUUUGUGGAGUAG